rnacentral:rRNA from 1 species
AUUGAACGCUGGCGGCAGGCCUAACACAUGCCAGUCGAACGGUAACAGGAAGCAGCUUGCUGCUUUGCUGACGAGUGGCGGACGGGUGAGUAAUGUCUGGGAAACUGCCUGAUGGAGGGGGAUAACUACUGGAAACGGUAGCUAAUACCGCAUAACGUCGCAAGACCAAAGAGGGGGACCUUAGGGCCUCUUGCCAUCGGAUGUGCCCAGAUGGGAUUAGCUAGUAGGUGGGGUAACGGCUCACCUAGGCGACGAUCCCUAGCUGGUCUGAGAGGAUGACCAGCCACACUGGAACUGAGACACGGUCCAGACUCCUACGGGAGGCAGCAGUGGGGAAUAUUGCACAAUGGGCGCAAGCCUGAUGCAGCCAUGCCGCGUGUAUGAAGAAGGCCUUCGGGUUGUAAAGUACUUUCAGCGGGGAGGAAGGGAGUAAAGUUAAGACCUUUGCUCAUUGACGUUACCCGCAGAAGAAGCACCGGCUAACUCCGU